AUUUUCUACUAGAAAAUUUUAAAAAUUCCCAUGCUAAUUUUUCGUUUCCCCCCAAAGACCAUGAUUUCACCAAAAUUUGAAGUUUCCUCUACAUCUUCACAACUUCACCGCUCUGCUUUCUCUAGUUGUGUUCUCCACCUCCAAAUGGACCCUCUUAUUCAUCGAUGGUCGCCGAAAUCUAUCACCUGCUAGCCAACCACUGUCGCCUAACAGUCGGGCAGCCUUUUCGUUUCACUCAACGAUACUUGUACUAUUCUCUACAGUUGCUGCCAUGUUACCCAAUAUUCCCCUCAUGUUACCCUCACUUUCAUACGGUUAGGAGCAAUGCUUAUAGUCGUGUUGUUUCAAAACUAGAAGGUCUAAAGAUGCGCACCAACUGCUCGAUGAAAUGCUUCACCCAAAUUAUAGAAUUAUUUUGAGGUUUUAAUGGAGCUAGUUCAUAAAUAAAAGCAAGUUUAUUGUUACUUGUAUGCUUAUUGUGCUAUGUAAGUAUCUUUGGGUUUGUUGUAAGCAUGGGGUUCUUAUUGGUUUAGCAAAAUUGCAUCGUUUUGUUGUAGUCAAUUGAUAUUUUUUUUA